GAGAGAGAGAGAGAGCGAGAGAUAGAGAAAAGAAAAGGAAAUAAAUGAGAGAUGAGGUUUUAAUGUACAAGAAUACAAAGUGGUUAAAUCUCUCAGAGUCUGUGUGAAGCGAACGUUCUCUUAUCAACUUCACUGUUAUGAUUAAACGCUUUAUCAGGUUUAUUAUUAUUUCAGAAAAAGAAAGGUACUAAAGGUCUCUUUGGAUGGAAAGCAGGGAGAAAGUAUUUUUAUCUUUCACCUGGAUAUAGUCACGUUUAAAAAGAUUUAGAACUGGAUUGAAUUUAAAGGAAAACUCUAGUCACGUUUCCAGGUAAAAGAUGAACGCUUAAGGGUUCCACGAGGAACGGUACACUUCAGAACCUUUUUUACGUUCUUGAGAACAUCGUUCGGUUCAAACUUUUCUAGAAGAUUUUUUUCUUUCAAGGAUUUUUAAUGGUUCUAGCUUUCGAAUGUUGUUCUACUGGCUUUGCUUUUUGCUUUGUAUCUACACGCUUUGGAAUAAUGUUAAUGGAUGUUGGAUCAAACUUCCCCCCAAAAAAGUAAGUUAUUAAUGAUUAAUUAAUGAUUAACGAUUAUGUAAUGAAUCGCCAUUUUGUGUUAUUUUGUUUGCUUAUUUCCUGUCUCCUCUUUCUUCCUGUCCUGUAAUUGGUUGAUUAUCCUAAUGUGUUCACCUGUUCUAUGUUAAGCCUUGAAUUGUUUUGUCUAUUUAUCCUCUUGUUUCUGUCCUUCAUUGCGAAGUCUUAUCAUGUAUUCUUGUCUCGUUAAGUUUUUCCUAGUGCCUUAUGACCUUCACUCUUAUAGAUUAUCAUCGUGUUAUGAUAUCUGAUCUACCCUCAUGUUACAGAUUAUUGAAUUAAUCACAGGAGGAAAGUUAAGCUGAAUUUGAUUCCUGAUUUAAAUCACACAUUAUACUUGAAGAAGGCUGGAAAAAAGCAGAUAAUCGAAAAAGAUGUUGUAUCGACGUCCUCCAGACUUCCUCCAGCUGUGACGCUGUUAAGAUGUAAAUUGCGCACGAUGUUAUGAAGACGCACGUCUUCUGUCUGAGAACUGGACCCCAAAGACACGACAAAUCUUCACAGAAGCAGUCAGUCGCCAUGACGGCGAGUUUACUCCAGGCUUUUACUAACACUAACGUGCAGAAACGCAGCCAGAAAUUCGAUCUCUGCAGCUGGCCGACUCUAAAACUCUGAACGGUACUGAGGGAUUAUCACACUGCCGUCAAGAUUAAUACAAUUAGGAUCCGCUUUCUAAACAAAAUAAAACAAACAGCAAAACAUGUAAUUUCACUAUCUUUACAUUUAAUGUCGAUCACAUGAUCAGUUUCAUUUGGUUUAUUCCUAAAAACUUUAUUAUCACUAAAAAAUGCUGUCCAACAGAGUCAGUCAGUCAGUCAGUCAGUCAGUCAUAUUUAUUUAUAAAGCACGUUUAAAAACAACAGCUGUUGGCCAAAGUGCUGUACAAAAUUUAAGCAUAUACCAAAAAUACAAAAGUAAACAUAGAUCACAGCAACAGAUACACUAUAGUACACUACAGUCAUGCCACUGCGCUUACUUAUGACCAGAUGCAACAGUAACUAAAGAAGUUUUAAGAGGAGACUUAAAAUCAGCGUAUGUUGGUGCAGUUCUUAUAUAGAGUGGCAAAUUGCUCCAAAGCUGUGGAGCAGCCACUGAAAAGGCACGAUCUCCUUUUGAUUUCACGCGUGUCCUUGGAACAGACAGCUGAAGACUACGAGUUGAUCAAAGUUCCCUGGAGGCGUUACAGUGGAACAGAAGGAGAUCGGAGAUAUAUGAAGGAGCCAGUCCAUGCAAACCCUUAUAAACAAACAACAAUGUUUUAAAAUGGAUACGAUAUCCAUUUUAAGCAGAGCAGAGCAGAAAGUGUUUGGACUGAGAGAGGAUGAAAGAAAGUGGUUUUAAUUUAGUGCCUCUUCGUCUUUGCUCUUUUUUUCCAUAUCCAAUCAGGUUCUUACGUUACCCAAGGGAGUUAUUUUUACUUGAACCCUCCUAACCUCGACCACCUGCCCCUCCAUUCCAGCCGUUUCAGAGCUGCACUUACAAACCUCAACCAUGUUACUCCUUUCCCUCUUGUCUCUCAAUCUGUGUGAAGAUCCACAGAGUAAACACAGCGUCAGAGUUACUGCAGUUUGUCCAAGUGCAAACACACACACACACACACACACACACACACACACAGCCAGACCUCUCCAAACUCUAACAUCGAGUCCUGCUAAUCCUAGAAAAGCCCUUCUGUCGCUUUGGAUUUAUAAAUGGCAUCAAGUGAUGUUCAGCUUUCACUGAAAAGAGUCACGUCGACACUGUAAUACAUUAACACCAGCACAAACUCAUACACGUGGCUCUUCUACUGAUUAACUUUAAAGUAAAAUGUCUGAAAUGAUCAAAAAAUAAUGUACAUUACUGGAUUUUUGAAUAAAGAUGACAGAAAGAUUUAUUAAUGUUAGUGUGUGUGUGUGUGUGUUUAUUAGACUGAACAGAACCAACAUAAAGGCGUGUUUGCGUACAGAUGACACAAUAAUUAGACAAAAAUAGAAUACAUUUACUUUUAAAAAUGUUUUCUGCCGAUUCGAUUAAAAAUCUCAACUUAUUUUGUCUCCAUCAUCUUCUCCUGCUGAGGACCAGGGUGUAUUUUAGCCCAAAACCUGGCUGCCUCUGCCAGGAGGUUAAAACCUGGCUGUAGCUGUAGCUUUCUAUAACAUUAUUAAAAGCUCAAACGCACAUCUAUCCACACCGACACACAAAUUAUUAGCAUAUUAUUACACAAACGCCACCUCAUAAUCUCUUAAUUAAUGCUGUUUUAUCAUUUUAAUCCUCAUUAAAACUUAUUUCAUAGUAACAGCGUUGGAUGACGGAGAAGUUCCAAAAAAAAAAAUAAAUAAAUUAAACACUUAAACACUAAAUUCUGUUGUUGGAGUUUUACAGAUUGUGAAUUUGUACACAGAUAGUUUGUGUGUUGGAUUAUUUGUGUAUUUUUGAUUUUGUUUUAUUGAUCCUGAAGAUAAAUAACAGCACAAAUAAUAAUGAUUUAUAGUCAUUUGUAGUCAAGCAUUUUUUUAAUCUUGAGUUUUAUCGCAGUUUACGCAAUCUCAGUAAUUAAAUAAGGAAAAAUUCAACAUCAAAUCGUUAAAUGUUUGUG